rnacentral:rRNA from 1 species
UACGGAGGGAGCUAGCGUUAUUCGGAAUUACUGGGCGUAAGCGCACGUAGGCGGCUUUGUAAGUUAGAGGUGAAAGCCUGGAGCUCAACUCCAGAAUUGCCUUUAAGACUGCAUCGCUUGAACUCCAGGAGAGGUGAGUGGAAUUCCGGGUGUAGCGGUGGAAUGCGUAGAGAUCCGGAAGAACACCGGUGGCGAAGGCGGCCCGCUGGGCAGGAAGACACCGCAAGGUGUCGGCUGACGCUGAGGCGCGACAGCGUGGGGAGCAAACAGG